GACGUAGGGCGCGAGCGUUGUCCGGAUUUAUUGGGCGUAAAGAGCUCGUAGGCGGUUUGUCGCGUCUGCCGUGAAAGUCCGGGGCUCAACUCCGGAUCUGCGGUGGGUACGGGCAGACUAGAGUGAUGUAGGGGAGACUGGAAUUCCUGGUGUAGCGGUGAAAUGCGCAGAUAUCAGGAGAAACACCGAUGGCGAAGGCAGGUCUCUGGGCAUUAACUGACGCUGAGGAGCGAAAGCAUGGGGAGCGAACAGG
rnacentral:rRNA from 1 species